UACGUAGGGGGCUAGCGUUGUCCGGAAUCAUUGGGCGUAAAGCGCGUGUAGGCGGCCCGGUAAGUCCGCUGUGAAAGUCGGGGGCUCAACCCUCGGAUGCCGGUGGAUACUGUCGGGCUCGAGUACGGAAGAGGCGAGUGGAAUUCCUGGUGUAGCGGUGAAAUGCGCAGAUAUCAGGAGGAACACCGAUUGCGAAGGCAGCUCGCUGGGACGUGACUGACGCUGAGACGCGAAAGCGUGGGUAGCAAACAGG
rnacentral:rRNA from 1 species